UACGAAGGUGGCAAGCGUUGUUCGGAUUUACUGGGCGUACAGGGAGCGUAGGCGGUUGGAUAAGCCCUCCGUGAAAUCUCCAGGCUUAACCUGGAAAGUGCAGAGGGGACUGUUCAGCUAGAGGAUGGGAGAGGAGCGCGGAAUUCCCGGUGUAGCGGUGAAAUGCGCAGAUAUCAGGAAGAACACCCGUGGCUAAGGCGGUUCUCUAGUACGGUACUGACGCUGAGACGCGAAAGCGUGGGGAGCGAACAGG
rnacentral:rRNA from 1 species